UUUCCGGCCCACAAGCAUAAACGCCACCGGCAACGGAAGUUCCCAAAAUCCAAACAAAUGUUGGAAGAUAUUUUUAAGUCUCCGCAUCUUUCUUACUUUCCUAUAUGAAAAUAAAAUUGGACUACACCAACAAAGGUUAUGUGUUUUGCACCAGAUUGAAAGCAUCAUAGCGAAAAACGGACCUGUCAUAUCUUUAAAUUUUCAAAAGAGCCCCUGGAAAAAGAAAAAUGAAUAUCUUUGCCAAGGAAUACUAAGGCAAAUGGAUAAAAAACCAUGUGUGUGAAGCUAGCGUCCGAUCGAUAUCCAGCAACCAAAAUCGAGAACGCAGCAUAUGCCGGUUGCCAGCGACCAAUUUAUAGUCCGCGCUCCCUGUUAUUUAAUCAAUAUAAUGCCCGUCUCUCCAAAAAUUCCCAAGGGAUUUUAAUAAUUUUUUGUCCAGAUAUUAACAAUGAAUACCUAGAUCGACUGACGAUGGUCUCAAACCUCUACAAACUAAGGUUUUGUUGUGAAAAUUAAUUAAAAAGUCAAAUGGUAAAAAAAUGAAAAAGGCUCUAACUCCCAAAAUUCCCAAAGGAUUUGGAUAAAACUUUUUUUUAUAAAAGAUAAUAAAUAUCUAAAUUGAUUUUAGAUGGUUGCAAACCUCUACAAACGAAAGUUUUUUGGUAAAAAAUUAUUGAAUUUUUAGAUGUACAAAAAAAAUUUAAAAGCUAUAACUUCCAAAAUUCCCAAAGGAUUCGAAUAAAACAUUUUCAUGUAAUUACUAAUAAAUAUCUAAACCGAUUUCGGAUAGUUGCAAACCUCUACAAACAACACUUUUUUGGUAAAAAAUUAUUGAAAUGUUAGAUGUAGAAAAAUAUAAACAGCUAUAAUUCCCAAAACUCCCAAAGGAUUUGAAUGAAACUUUUUUACGCAAUUAGCAAUAAAUAUUUAAAUCGAUUUUACAUGGUUGCAAAUCUCUACAAACGAAAGUUUUUUGGCAAAAAAUUAUUGAAAUGUUAGAUGUAAAAAAAUAUAAACGGCUAUAACUCCCAAAACUCCCAAAG